UACGUAGGGUGCGAGCGUUAAUCGGAAUUACUGGGCGUAAAGCGUGCGCAGGCGGUUCGUUAAGUCAGAUGUGAAAGCCCCGGGCUCAACCUGGGAACUGCAUUUGAAACUGGCGGGCUUGAGUGCGGCAGAGGGGGGUGGAAUUCCGCGUGUAGCAGUGAAAUGCGUAGAGAUGCGGAGGAACACCGGAGGCGAAGGCGGCUUGCUGGGCGUGAUCUGACGCUGAGGCGCGAAAGCGUGGGGAGCGAACAGG
rnacentral:rRNA from 1 species